rnacentral:lncRNA from 1 species
GAACUAACUGAAUUGAAGACGAAGAGGAAGGUAAUUAUGAUUUGGUAUGGAAAUAAAGCUUCAACUUCACCGUUUUCAGGAACUACUAAGCAUAUGCUAAAAUAAUUUGUAAAGCAACAGAGAGAAAGACACCAUGAGCAAAUGGAGUGAAAGAAAGAGUAUAGAAUAAACUUUGAGCUGGAGAAAAAAUUCCUCUCCGUAGACAAGUUUUAUGGUGAACAGUUUCACACCACAGUUGCUCAAUUCCACUUCAAGACUUCAUGGUAUUUUGACCAGAUUUCCCAAUGAGCCUCAGCUUCUGCUGCUUUCACUUAAAAUCAUCUUGACCACUAUUUCACAGGAGCAAAGAAUUCUCUCUCUUAGAGAUAAACUUUAAUUCCAGGAGUGAUUGUCCUCUGCCUAUCCUGAAGUAAUAUUCUCACACUUACUGUUAACUAAGAUGCUUUAAACAGGAGCAUAGGUUCCCAACUGAAAUAAAGAAAUUUCACAUAAAUCA